UUAAGCUAAGAAGAGCGUAGGGAGAAUGCCUUGGCAUUAGGAGCCGACGAAGGACGUGAUAAGCUGCGAUAAGCUGCGGGGAUCAGCAAGUAUGAAUUGAUCCGCAGAUUUCCGAAUGGAGCAAUCCGUAUGUGUAUGCACAUACAUCAUAUACUGAAUCAAAUAGGUAUAUGAGGGGAACCGCCUGAACUGAAACAUCUAAGUAGGGCGAGGAAGAGAAAUCAACCGAGAUUCUGUGAGUAGUGGCGAGCGAAAGCGGAAGAGGCUAAACCAUAGGUAGCAAUACUUAUGGGGUUUCGGACAGCAUUUAGUAUUGAUAAUUUCUAGUUGAAACGUGUGGGAAAACGUACCGAAGAGUGUGAGAGUCACGUAAGCGAAAGAGAAAGUCAGCGAGCUGUAUCCAAAGUACCGCGGGACACGUGAAACCCCGUGGGAAGAUGGGGGGACCAUCCUCCAAGCCUAAAUACUACCUAAUGACCGAUAGCGAAUAGUACUGUGAAGGAACGGUGAAAAGAACCCCGGGAGGGGAGUGAAAAAGAACCUGAAACCCUAUGCUUACAAGCACCGAGAGCACGUCAAAGUGUGAUCGGGUACCUUUUGUAGAAUGGUCCGGCGAGUUAUUGUAUGCGGCAAGGUUAAGUGCUUAAGGCACGGAGCCGAAGCGAGAGCAAGUCUGAAUAGGGCGAAAAAGUCGUAUGCAAUAGACCCGAAACCGAGUGACCUAUCCAUGUCCAGGCUGAAGUGGAGGUAAAACUCCAUGGAGGGCCGAACACACGUCCGUUGAAAAGGCCGGUGAUGAGGUGUGGAUAGCGGAGAAAUUCCAAUCGAACUCGGAUAUAGCUGGUUCUCUCCGAAAUAGCUUUAGGGCUAGCCUCGUGAAAGAUUACUGGAGGUAAAGCACUGAAUGGGCUAGGGGUCGAAAGAUUACUGAACCCUAUCAAACUAAGAAUGCCAGAUAAUUGAUUCACGGGAGUCAGACAAUGUGAGAUAAGUCUCAUUGUCAAAAGGGAAACAGCCCAGACCCACAGCUAAGGUCCCUAAACAUUGUUAAGUGGAAAAGGAUGUGGGGUUGCAUAAACAACCAGGAUGUUGGCUUAGAAGCAGCCACUCAUUAAAAGAGUGCGUAAUAGCUCACUGGUCGAGUGACCCUGCGCCGAAAAUUCAACGGGGCUAAACAAUGUACCGAAGCUUGGGAUUCUAAAGUAAUUUAGAGUGGUAGGAGAGCGUCGAAUAAGGGGUGAAGUCAGAGCGGAAGCGCUGGUGGACUUUAUUCGAGUGAGAAUGCCGGAAUGAGUAGCGAGAAUUAUGUGAGAAUCAUAAUGGCCGAAAAUCUAAGGUUUCCUGAGGAAGGUUCGUCCGCUCAGGGUAAGCCGGGGGCUAAGGCGAGGCGGAGACGCGUAGCCGAUGCACAUACGGUUGAAAUUCCGUAGCCACCGAAAGAUUUAAGUACAGGGACGCUUUAGAAGUGAUGUAGCCGGGCGAUGGUUGACCCGGUCGUAAGGGAUCGAAAAUGAGUAGAGAAGUCAUCAUGGAAAGAGACAAGAAAAGCUGUAUGAAUAUCUUAGGUGCCCGUACCGCAAACCGACACAGGUAGAUAGGAAGAAGAUUCUAAGGCCAACGGGAGAAGGGUUGUUAAGGAACUCGGCAAGUUGACCCCGUAACUUAGGGAUAAGGGGUGCUCAAGUGAUUGAGCCGCAGAGAAUAGGCCCAGGCGACUGUUUAGCAAAAACACAGGUCUCUGCUAAAUCGAAAGAUGACGUAUAGGGGCUGACACCUGCCCGGUGCCGGAAGGUUAAGAGGAGAUGUGAGAGCAUUGAAUUGAAGCCCCGGUAAACGGCGGCCGUAACUAUAACGGUCCUAAGGUAGCGAAAUUCCUUGUCAGGUAAG
rnacentral:rRNA from 1 species